CAGCGCCUGCAGCAUGACAGCCAAGGCCGCCAUGCCCGUGCGCUUUAUGAAUCUGGUCGAGCCGCUGGGCGCCUCCAAACCUGCAGGCCCCACCGCCAGGCGCACCACGGAUACCACCGCGCGGCACACCAGCGCGGCCUGGUCCGGCGCAGUUUCCCAACUGAUCGGCGCAAGCCUUCGGCGGGGCGACGUAGAUAGCUCGACGCUUCG
rnacentral:sRNA from 12 species